GGGUGCGAUCAUUCCAGCACUAAUGCACCGGAUCCCAUCAGAACUGUUCAGUUAAGCGUGCUUGGGCGAGAGUAGUACUAGGAUGGGUGACCUCUUGGGAAGUCCUCGUGUUGCACCCC
rnacentral:rRNA from 1 species